rnacentral:rRNA from 1 species
GAUGAACGCUGGCGGCGUGCCUAAUACAUGCAAGUCGAGCGAACAGACGAGGAGCUUGCUCCUCUGACGUUAGCGGCGGACGGGUGAGUAACACGUGGAUCACCUACCUAUAAGACUGGGAUAACUUCGGGAAACCGGAGCUAAUACCGGAUAAUAUAUUGAACCGCAUGGUUCAAUAGUGAAAGACGGUUUUGCUGUCACUUCUAGAUGGAUCCGCGCCGCAUUAGCUAGUUGGUAAGGUAACGGCUUACCAAGGCGACGAUGCGUAGCCGACCUGAGAGGGUGAUCGGCCACACUGGAACUGAGACACGGUCCAGACUCCUACGGGAGGCAGCAGUAGGGAAUCUUCCGCAAUGGGCGAAAGCCUGACGGAGCAACGCCGCGUGAGUGAUGAAGGUCUUCGGAUCGUAAAGCUCUGUUAUUAGGGAAGAACAAAUGUGUAAGUAACUAUGCACGUCUUGACGGUACCUAAUCAGAAAGCCACGGCUAACUACGUG